rnacentral:tRNA from 1 species
UCCCUGAUGGUCCAGUGGUUAAGAUUUAGUGCAUUCACUCCUGUGGUCUAGGUUCAAUUCCUUGUCAGAGAA